rnacentral:rRNA from 1 species
AUUGAACGCUGGCGGCAGGCCUAACACAUGCAAGUCGAACGAGUGGCGGACGGGUGAGUAAUGUCUGGGAAACUGCCUGAUGGAGGGGGAUAACUACUGGAAACGGUAGCUAAUACCGCAUUCUAUAGGGUGUGCCCCGAUGGGAUUAGCUAGUAGGUGGGGUAAAGGCUCACGUGGGCGACGAUGCCUAGCUGGUCUGAGAGGAUGACCAGCCACACUGGAACUGAGGCACGGGCCAGAGUCCUACGCGCGGCAGCAGGGGGGAAUUUUGCGAAAUGGGAGAAAGGCGGAUGCAGCGAUGCCGCGUGUAUGAAGAAGGCCUGCGGGUUGUAAAGUACUUACAGCGGGGAGGCGUUACCCGCAGAAGAAGCACCGGCUAACUCCGUGCCAGCAGCCGCGGUAAUUC